ACAUGGGUGUCUCACCCAAAACUUGAGAACUUCAAUCACACAAUACUUAACGGAACUUCGUGAGAAGGGUUAGUGUAAUAAAGAUAGAUGAUUCACUUAGGUACUGCCACGUCAAGAUUCAUAAUUGUUCCCACAUGAUACCUACUGUAUUCUAUCAUUACCAUAAUUUAUAUUACUGAAUAUAAGCUAUGGGAACAUUAAAAUAAGCAAACUAUGCAUGCAAAACAGAAUCUAUCAAAAACAGAACAGUCUG
rnacentral:lncRNA from 1 species